AUUGAAAAAAAAGGGAGGAUGUUGCACAUUUAUUAAACUUCAGUAAAUGUCCAACUGAAGCAAUAUGCAUUUGAAACCUACUGUAAAAUUUUAGCUUUCUAUCAGAACUACAAUACAUCAAGCCCCUUAACUUUUUUCUACAUUUUGUAUAUUAUUUUACAUUUCAAGAAAUUUGAUUAUUAUGAAAAGGUUCUAUGUAUUUUUGUCACUGAGUGUGUGUACAGUGAAAUAUUUUAAGCAUCUCUUGUAAAUUUGUUGGUUAUGGCUUAUAAAAAACAAAACCUCAAACCACAAGUAGACUUUUACGUAAAGUAAAAACAGAAUAUUUUCAACAAAAAUGUCAGGGUUCUGGUAAGCAUGUUUAUUUCUGCCUACUAAAUCCUUUAUAGGGCCUUCUUCUAUGGCAUGGCAUUGAUGCAAUCUGUCUACGGCAUAACUGAGGUGAAAUGAACGCCAGGCUAAUGGCCUGCAUUGCUGGGUCUGGUCUCGCUAAUCUUUCUUUGUCAAAUUCAGGACAAGCCAGUUUGCUGGCAAAUGAAGAACAGUGACACCAAGAUAAUUUAGCCAGUUUUUAGAACCUUUUGGUAAGUUCUACUGGAAACUUAAAUCAGCAGAAGGAAUCAUAGAGCGAUGUAAAAUGACCUGGUAGAUGGCUUCAUUGAUUGGGUUAGAGUAGCUCAAAAGAUAAGUUCUACCCAUGAAUUCAGAGCUCCGAAUACAAAUAAAUUCUCUGGGGAAAGUGGCGGUCACAAGGGUCUUUUACUUCAGUGCGCCCCAAUCAUUUCCCCAUGACAAUUCUAAAAUCUCUUUUAUUACAGGUGUUACGUCAAUCUGCGUUUGCCCAUCAGAUACGGUUCCCCCUAGUAAUCAAUUUCAACUCCAUUUAUGCAUAACUUUACAUUAUUAUAGAUCUGAUUACCAGAAAAUGCCAUGAGUUGUGAGAUGAUCAUUAGUUUUUUCUUGAUAACUUACUCUAAUCAAACUAUGUUUUCAACUCAGCUAGCUCUUCUUCUACUUUUUAUUAUUUCAUCCAUAUUUUUUUCCAGAGAAAAAGAAAUUUGUAUCAUCAGCAAACAUUAUAAACUUCAAAAUACUGGAUACUGCAAAAAUAUAAUUUAAAUAAAGUAUAAAUAAUUUAGGUCCUAGAACUGAGCCUUGAGGAAGACCACAUUUUACAAUUUCAAUUUGUGACCUUGUGUUAUUAAUUUGUGCAUAUUGCAAUCUAUUACUCAAGUAACUCUUUAACCACUGAUAUGUAACCCCCUGUAGGCCAUACAGUUCGUACCAGGUCAAAUGUAUCAAAUGCUUUGCAUAGAUCAAUACUGUAUUAAGCUUCUGGUCAAUUGCUGCAGCAACAUUUUCCACAAAUUCCAUCACAGCUAAAGUUGUGGAGCAGUUAUUUCUGAAACCGUACUGGUGCUCGUUCAGUAUAUUAUUUUUGUUAAGAAAGGAGUCCAGCCGUUUUAUGAAUAUUUUUUCCAAAAUUUUUGAAAAUAACGGUAGCAAUGAUAUCGGACUGUAAUUUGUUCAUAUUUGCUUGUCACUACUUUUAUGGACUGGAAAAACCUUUGCUAUCUUCAUUUUGUCAGGAAAAGUUCCAGAAGCAGAUCAUGUUUUUCUCUAAGUUUAAUUUCCAUUUCAUAUAGACUAGGUUCUAAGAACACCAAACCCUCUUGACUGUGCUGAAGAGACCCUGGCUUUCAUUUAACCCCCCAGCUGUAUAGUUGGUACGGUCACAUGGGAGAUAAAGGACAUUGUAAAUCAAGCCUUACAGAAUGAACCUGACCCAGGUAACAGUCCUUCCAAUAGGACUUAUGUUCCCACUUCCGCCCGUUCUCGUCUUAUUCACUGGUUAAAUUCCACAAAGUUUUCUGCCCACCCAGGUAUUAGCAGAACCAUUCCACUUAUCUCUUGUCGCUUCUGGUGACUGUCCUUACAUAAAGACAUUAAGGAGUUUGUCUUUGCCUCUCAAGUCUGUGCUCGUAAUAAACCUUCUCUUCAACCACCUGCAGAUCCGCUCCACCCCAGCAUCCUUGGUUCCACAUCGCCAUAGAUUUUAUUACCGGACUCCCCACAUCCCAAGGUAUGACCACAAUUCUUUUUUUUUUUAACUUUAUUUUUGUUAUUUUAGCAGUUUUAUAGAUACACAUACAUACAUUGAACAGUUAGACCCCCCUCUAAUAAAAAUUACAGAGCACCUCAUGUGACAGAAGAAGUUGAGUAAUAAUCAACAAAAAUAAAAAAAAUAUGAAAAUAGGUAAUUACAUUAAUUAUAAGGUUGGUGUCAAGCUAUGAUGAGUGAUCCAUUUCUUCCAGUAUUUAUUGUAUUUCUAAGUGGCAAGUCUUAAUGAAAAAGUCAGUCUCUCCAUUACGUGGAUUUCCUCAAUUAUGUCCUUCCAGUCCAAACAUGACGGUGAUUCCACAUCAAGCCACCUGCGAGUUAUAGCCUUCUUUGUACCUGCUAAUAAUAUUAGUAGGAGAUAUCUAUCAGACUUCUUCAGUUCCUGGGGUAAAUUACCCAGGAAAACCACAGUAAAAUCACAGCGUAAAUUUAAGUCCAUUUUAGUAUUGAUUUCUUUUAUCACUUCUGACCAAUAGGAUGCAAUCUUAAUACAUCCCCAGAAGACAUAAAAAUGUCCUGCAGACACAUUUCCACAAUUCCUCCAACAUUUUGCCUUUUCAGUAUCGUUACAAUAUUUACUUUUAAUGUUAGGUGUAACAAAAAAACGCACCAUACAUUUCCAGGAAAAUUCCUUCCACAGGCCAGAACUUGACGUGUGAAUCACAGAAUUGCAUAUAUUUAACCAAACAUGGUCAGUUAUUGUUAUUGUGGCCUCUUUUUCCCAUUUAACCUUAAUAUAUGUUGUAUUACAUUUUCUCUCCGUAACAGGAGUAACAGGAGUAUGGUUUGGAUAUUGUUUUUUUGAGAGGUCUUCUGUUGCUCGAAUCUAAUAGGAUUUUAAGUAUACCUGUCUCGUCCUCCUCCAAAAAUUUUAUACUUUUAUUGUAGUAGUGUCUUAGCUGGAGGUGUCUAAAAAAAAAGUCACAUUUUUCCAUGUUAUAGUUAUCUUGAAGUUGUUUAAAACUUUUUAAUUCACUAUUCUUUGUAAUCUUCCAGUAACUUGUUAUACCUUUUUGUGGCCACUGUGUAAAUCUCUUAUCCAUUCUUGCAGGGAGAAAAUCUCUAUCAUAAGCA